UGAUGGAGAUGGGAUGGGGGUGGGAACGUGUGUCCCUGCUCCACCGUGUCGCCCCCAUUGCAGCUCUCAGUGGUGGAGUACGACCCCGGCACGCACGACCUGAAGACGCUCUCGCUGCACUACUUCGAGGAGCCGGAGCUGCGGGACGGCUUCGUGCAGAACGUGCACAUCCCCAAAGUGCGCGUGGACCCCGACGGGCGCUGCGCCGUGAUGCUCAUCUACGGCACGCGGCUGGUGGUGCUGCCCUUCCGCAGAGACUCGCUGGCCGACGAGCACGAGGGCCUGGUGGGAGAGGGGCAGAAGUCGAGCUUCCUGCCCAGCUACAUCAUCGACGUGCGGGAGCUGGACGAGAAGCUGCUCAACAUCAUCGACAUGCAGUUCCUGUGCGGUUACUACGAGCCCACCCUCCUCAUCCUCUUCGAGCCCAACCAGACGUGGCCGGGGCGCGUGGCGGUGCGUCAGGACACGUGCAGCAUCGUGGCCAUCUCCCUGAACAUCAUGCAGAAGGUGCACCCCGUCAUCUGGUCCCUCAGCAAUCUGCCCUUCGACUGCACGCAGGCCUUGGCCGUCCCCAAACCCAUCGGUGGGGUUGUGAUCUUUGCUGUCAACUCCCUGCUGUACCUGAACCAAAGCGUGCCGCCCUACGGCGUCUCCCUCAACAGCCUCACUGCUGGCACCACCGUGUUCCCACUGCGCAUGCAGGACGGGGUUCGGCUGACGCUGGAUUGCGCUCAGGCCGCCUUCAUCUCCUAUGACAAGAUGGUGAUUUCCCUCAAGGGAGGAGAGAUGUGAGUGGGACCGGGGGGGACGUCGGUCCCCGUUGUCACCAGCCCCCAUUGUCACCUCCCCCCCAUUGUCACCAUCCCAUUGUCACCACCCCCCACUGUUCCCAUCCCCAAUCUCCCCAUCCUUAUUGUCACCAUCCCCCAUCUUCACCAUCCCACUGCCACCAUCCCAGUUGUCACUCAUUGUCACCAUCCCACUGUCCCCAUCCCCAUUGUCCCCAUCCCCAUUGUCACCCAUUGUCCCCAUCCCUCAUCGUCACCAUCCCAUUGUCACUCAUUGUCCCCAUUCCAUUGUCACCAUCCCCAUUGUCCCCAUCUCAUUGUCACCAUCCCAUUGUCCCCAUCCCCACUGUCACCAUCCCACUGUCACCAUCCCCACUGCCACCAUCCCCAUUGUCCCUG
rnacentral:lncRNA from 1 species